rnacentral:rRNA from 1 species
CGUGUAGGCGGUGCGGUAAGUUGGGCGUGAAAUCCCCGAGCUUAACUCGGGUGGGCCGUUCAAGACUGCCGUGCUAGGGUGCGGGAGAGGGAAGUGGAAUUUCCGGUGUAGCGGUGAAAUGCGUAGAUAUCGGGAGGAACACCUGCGGCGAAGGCGGCUUCCUGGACCGUAACCGACGCUGAGGCGCGAAAGCUAGGGGAGCAAACAGGAUUAGAUACCCUGGUAGUCCUAGCCCUAAACGAUGAGCACUGGGUGUGGCCCUCACGAGGCCGUGCCGAAGCUAACGCAUUAAGUGCUCCGCCUGGGGAGUACGGUCGCAAGGCUGAA